rnacentral:rRNA from 1 species
CUACAGGCGACGAUGAGUAGCCGGUCUGAGAGGGUGACCAGCCACACUGGGACUGGAACACGGCCCAGACUCCUACGGGAGGCAGCAGUGGGGAAUAUUGCGCAAUGGGGGAAACCCUGACGCAGCAACGCCAUGUGAGGGACGAAGGCUUUCGGGUCGUAAACCUCUGUCAGGAGGGAAGAAACUGUUUGGGGCUAAUACCCUCUUUCACUGACGGUACCUCCAGAGGAAGCACCGGCUAACUCCGUGCCAGCAGCCGCGGUAAUACGGAGGGUGCAAGCGUUAUUCGGAAUCACUGGGCGUAAAGCGCGCGUAGGCCGCGCGAUAAGUCAGGCGUGAAAGCCCUCGGCUCAACCGGGGAAUUGCGCUUAAUACUGUGCUGCUUGAGUCUCGGAGAGGAUGGCGGAAUUCCAGGUGUAGAAGUGAAAUCCGUAGAGAUCUGGAGGAACACCUGUGUCGAAGGCGGCCACCUGGACGAGUACUGACGCUGAGGUUCGAAAGCCUGGGGAGCCAACAGGAUUAGAUACCCUGCUAGUCCACGCCGAAAACGAUGAAUGCUAGAUGUCGG